rnacentral:sRNA from 1 species
GGCCCACAGAGAGGGCAGAGCUGAAGAUGAGGCGGUCCCACCCAUCGGCCCAAAGCAAGGGCAGGAAGCAAUCCUCCAGUGUGACAGGAGAUGCUGAGGCCAGACGGGAAACUUAAUGGUGCCCCAAGAGCCGGUAACAGAGUGCGAGGAACCGUGCUUCGAACACGACUUCAUCUCGCAAACACAAAGGACCAUGGUCGGUUAGCCUAGUCAGUCCCCAGGGACUCUGUUGGGGCGCCCACAAGUGUCUCUUGUCUGCCUCCUUCCCUGUUGCUAAGGUGGCUGGUUCAUGGGUCUCCUAUGUCUGCGGUGGCUGGAGAAAUGCACUCACGGAAAGAUAGCAAAUCGGAUUAUCUGAAGCAAAUGCAGAGGGGCUUGAACCACCCACCUGCCCCAAGUGAAGCCUCACUGGAAUCUUCUUUUCAACUGUUUGUUAUUUUUUUUUUUUUAUUUAGGCACAGAAAUUACAGCCUGGUCGUGUUCAGAAAAUUAUAUUUAACCCUCAUUUAGAUUCAAUCUGAAUCCAUUUAAUGAAACGUGAAUAGCUCUCUGGGUUUACUGACAGAAAAAGAGAGAAAUCUAAGCCAGGAAGAGACGCACCUGCUGGUUUUCUGGGCCAAGUGGAUAUCACACUAGGCUCCCACUCGAGGUCAAUGCCAUUUCCCUCCACCGUUCAGAUGGAGAACAAUUCAAACCCCACGAAAGCAGGCUCCGGGGUGCAGGAGACCCCAGUAUCCUGCUGUUUGGUUCUCUGUUUUAUAGGCAUCUGAAGGCCAGGCACAGUGCCAGCCUUGGAGACUCCACGGCAAGCAGAUGCUAUCCUUGCCCCCUGCAGACUCUGGUCCAGUGCGACAGGCUGACCUUGACCGAGUUUUCACAACAGCUAGGAAGUUACAACAGCUAGGAGUGUAGGCCGGAGCAAGCUCUACUGAGGAAGAUGAGAGGGCUUUCCCUGAGCAGAACCCAGCCAGACAGGCGGCAGGAACGGGAGGUGGGAGGCAGGAUUACCCUUCAGGUGUCAGUGGCAUGCAGGAACGGCCCUGUUGCGAGCCCGAGAGACUGUGACAUCCGGGCCAGCACUGAGACUGAGAGUGGACGGGCACACGAUUAAAACCUGAAGAGAGCUGUGUGUGGAGGCUCAGCCCGCCCGCCCCGCCCCACCUGGUGCUGCAGAGUGUUUGCCAGAGAAGAUACUCACGCAUGGGCUUAAGCUAAUCCAAAGACUUGAUCACACUGGGCGUUCAGGACCUCGGCGAGGCGCCAAGCCUUUCUCAGGAUGAGCUUUUAAGCACAGAAGCCAUAUUCUAGGUUGACACACUUCAGUUAACAAGAAGAACAGUUAGCCAGAAGCAGGACUACAGAAGCCAAAACUCAAGCAGGCAGGACCCAACCAGCUAAGUCAGGAUGACACAGAGACCUACCUAUGAGAGUGGGAGACCUGGCAGUAGAGACAGGAGGAGCAGACUGAAAUGACAGCUACUGUGGCUUUGUAGCGUAAGUUCUUGCAUUCCUUGCUGG